GAGAGGUGCCCGUAGUGGCCCACCGGGGACCGGACCCACGCGGUCCGGCCGGGUCGUCCGCGACCCACGCAGGUUCGAAUCCUGCCCUCUCCGCCA
rnacentral:tRNA from 1 species